rnacentral:rRNA from 1 species
UACGUAGGGGGCAAGCGUUGUCCGUAAUUAUUGGGCGUAAAGCGCGCGCAGGCGGUUCCUUAAGUCUGAUGUGAAAUCUCGGGGCUCAACCCCGAGCGGUCAUUGGAAACUGGGGAACUUGAGUACAGAAGAGGAGAGUGGAAUUCCACGUGUAGCGGUGAAAUGCGUAGAUAUGUGGAGGAACACCAGUGGCGAAGGCGACUCUCUGGUCUGUAACUGACGCUGAGGCGCGAAAGCGUGGGGAGCGAACAGG